GAUGAAGAACGUAGCGAAAUGCGAUACGUAGUGUGAAUUGCAGAAUUCAGUGAAUCAUCGAAUCUUUGAACGCACAUUGCACCUCUCGGUAUUCCGGGAGGUAUGCCUGUUCGAGCGUCAUUUGUACCCUCAAGCUCUGCUUGGUGUUGGGUGUUUGUUCCGCCUCUGUGUGUGAACUCGCCUCAAAACAAUUGGCAGCCGGCGUACUUGUUUCGGAGCGCAGCACAUUUUGCGAUCCAGAUCAACGUACAGCGGCAUCCAAGAAGCCUUAUUUAACGCUCUUGACCUCGGAUCAGGUAGGGAUACCCGCUGAACUUAAGCAUAUCACUAAGCGGAGGA
rnacentral:misc_RNA from 1 species